AUGAAGAAUAAGAAAUGGAAUUUUAUUUGUGACACUAGUAACUUUAUUUUUUCCUAAACUGGAGAGAACAAAGAAGCAAACUACAUAUUCAAUGUUAAAUUCAAAAAUAGCAAUAAAUGUAGUAUAGGAAAGGCAGAACAAAAUGCAGGAAUUUGUGAUUUUGAUAUUUAAAAAACAGUCACUGGUUCAAUAUAGAAUGAAAUACCUCAUAGACAGAUUUCAGGCAAAUCUAGUCUUAA
rnacentral:lncRNA from 1 species